rnacentral:lncRNA from 1 species
AAAAAAAUCAAUUAAAUCUUAAAAAAAAAAAAGAUGACUCAAUUGAACGUUGACUACAAGUUCUUUUUGUUCCUAUUAACUUUUUUACAAUAUAUCAAGAUUCAACUCAGGCAAGAGUAGCCAUUGCCAUGCUGGUUUCAAUAUCACCCCAACUGCCGUGUGCUCAUUUUGUUUAUGCUCUUCCAAUGAUUACUGAUUUUUCAAAUUACUGAAAAAGAAAAGAUAACACUGACUUUGGUUACCUGCAGGGCUGGCUUCAUAGUGAAGUCCACAGGGACAAUGGAGCACUGCGUGAGGAGAGAUGUGUAUUCCCUUCUUCCUUGCCACCCCAUCUGCCUAUAGCAUUCCUGAUGCUGCACAAGCACAGAAUUCCAGGGGACCCAGCGCAGGAGUUCAGCACAACUCAAAGCAAGUACAAGUGCUCUUCAUCUGAGAUUGAAAUCUGCCUUGUGGUGGUGUACUUUUUUAUGGGUCAAGAAUCCAGGCACAGCUUUGCCAGAUGCCUCAGCUUCAAGGAUGACAGUCGGCUCAAGGUUUGACCAAGGGAAGAUCCACGUCCAAGAGCACUCAAGUGGUUGUUGACAGGAUUCAGUUCCUCUGAGGUUGUUGCAUUGAGGGCCGGGAUUCCAACUCCUUGGCUGUCGCCCAGAAGCCUAUCUCUGCUCCUUGUCACGUGGCCUCUGCACAGGGCAGCUCAAAACACUGCAGCUGAUUUAAUCAAAGCAAACACAUGAGGGCAAGUGCGAAGGGAACGAGUCUUUUGUAGGAUAAUCUCGGAAGCAACAUCUCAUUACUUUUGCCAUAUUCUGUUGGUUGGAAGCAAGUCACUAGUCCAGCCCACACUUGAGGAAUCAGGGAUCGUUGGGGCCAUCUUAAAGGCUGCCUACCACAAUUGUCAGUAAAAUAAAAGACUUAGGAAAUAAGGGCUUUUCUUUUCUUUUUAUCAUCCCAG